rnacentral:lncRNA from 1 species
AAAACGGCGCCUGGCCGUGGCACGUGAAGCCACGGCUCGCGGUUCUAUUCUGGCUGUCCAUUCGGGUCAGCUGUGUUUUUCCUUCGCUCCUGGGGCAUAAGCC